AUGGCCUUCGCAAUGCGCCUAGCGUCCUGCCCCGGCGCGUCGCUGCAGGCGGCGACGGCCUGGCCGUCCAACCUCGGCUCCCCGGCGCCGCGGCUGCGGCCGCGCUGGCGGUGGCCACGCCUCCGGCCGUCCGCGGCCGCCUCGGACCAGCAGGCGCUUCUGGCCGCCCUGCGCGAGCAGGCGGACCCCGAGGCGGCGCUCCGGAUGCUCAACUCGGCGCUCGCGCGGGACGACUUCGCCCCCGGCCGCGACGUCUACGAGGAGAUCAUCCGGAAGCUCGGGACGGCCGGCGCCUUCGACCUCAUGAAGGUGCUCGUCAGGGAGAUGCGCCAGGAAGGGCACCAGGUUGGGCCCGGCGUGGUGCAGUCGUUUGUAGAGGGCUACGCGCGGCUGCACAUGUUCGAUGAUGCCUUCGACUUGGUUCUGAACCAGCUUGAUAUGUUCGGUAUUCAGGGAGAUACAGUGGUGGUGGCGUACAAUCACCUUCUCCGUGUUCUCAUGGAGGGGAGUAAGAUCAAGCUCCUUGAGUCCGCUUAUACGGAGAUGAGCAAUCGGGGUAUCAAGCCUGACCUUGUCACUUACAACACUGUGAUCAAUGCAUUGUGUCGAGUUCAUCAGGUUAGGACUGCAGUUUUGAUGCUGGAGGACAUGUCUAGCAACGGUGUGGCACCUGACGAGGUGACAUUCACUACGUUGAUGCAAGGUUUUGUCGAGGAGGGGAGCAUCGAGGCGGCACUGAGGAUGAAGGCACGGAUGUCAGAAAUGGGAUGCUCGCCAACGAGUGUAACUGUCAAUGUUUUGAUUAGCGGCUACUGCAAGCUGGGAAGAGUCGAAGAUGCUCUCAGUUAUGUACAGCAAGAGAUUGCAGAUGGUUUUGAACCUGACCAGGUCACAUUCACUACAUUUGUUAAUGGUCUCUGCCAAAACGGGCAUGUCGAUCAUGCCCUCAAAGUCAUGGAUUUGAUGCUCCAGCAGGGUAGUGACCCAGAUGUUUUCACCUACACUACUGUUGUAAACUGCUUGUGUCAAAAUGGAGAACUUGAGGAGGCUAAGGCAGUCAUAAAUCAUAUGGUGGAUAGCGGUUGUUUGCCUGACGUUACCACCUUCAAUACUCUCAUUGUUGCCCUAUGCACAGAGAAUCGGCUUGAGGAAGCCUUGAACCUUGCACGUGAUCUGACGGUGAAGGGACUCUCUCCAAAUGUUUAUACUUUCAACAUUUUGAUAGAUGCCCUCUGCAAGGUUGGAGAUCCUCAUCUUGCUGUUCGAUUGUUUGAAGAGAUGAAAAGCAGUGGAUGCACCCCUGAUGAACUUACAUACAAUAUAUUGAUUGAUAACCUGUGCUCAUCGGGGAAGCUUGCCAAAGCUUUGGAUUUGUUGAAGGAGAUGGAAAUUAGUGGUUGUCCUCUGAGCACAGUGACAUAUAACACUAUAAUUGAUGGGUUAUGCAAGAAAUUGAGAAUAGAAGAAGCAGAGGAGGUUUUUGAUCAAAUGGAUGUAACAGGUAUUGAAAGGAAUGCGAUCACAUUCAAUACACUUGUUGAUGGAUUGUGCAUGGCCGAAAGGAUUGACGAUGCAGCAGAACUUAUUGAACAAAUGAUAAGUGAAGGGUUGCAACCUAAUAAUAUCACUUACAAUUCUAUUCUAACUCAUUACUGCAAGCAAGGAAACAUAGCUAAAGCUGCUGAUGUUUUACAAACUAUGACCGAAAAUGGAUUUGAAGUUGAUACUGUUACAUAUGCAACACUCAUUAAUGGCCUGUGCAAGGCUCGUCGGACUCAGGCUGCUUUGAAGCUUCUUAGAGGUAUGCGGAUGAAAGGGAUGAGGCCAACUCCAAAAGCCUUCAACACUGUGAUUCAGUCUCUAUUUAAAGGGAAUAAUGGCAGAGAUGCUCUGAAUCUGUAUAGGGAGAUGACAGAAGUUGGUGAGCCUCCUGAUGCUUUGACAUAUAAAAUUGUUUUCCGUGGUCUCUGUCGUGGUGGUGGCCCUAUUAAAGAAGCUUUUGAUUUCUUGGUAGAGAUGGCAGAUAAGGGUUUCAUACCAGAGUUUUCAUCAUUCCGCAUGCUAGCUGAUGGUCUACUGAACCUGGGUAUGGAUGAUUACCUCAUAAGUGCUAUUGAACUAAUUGCAGAGAAGGCCAACUUCAGAGAAUCCGAUGUUUCUGCAAUAAGGGGUUAUCUCAGGAUCCGUAAAUUUUAUGAUGCAUUAGCAACUUUUGGCCGUCUCCUGGAUAUCAACAACCCUCGAUGGACUUAUCGAUGA
rnacentral:rRNA from 1 species